UACGAAGGGGGCUAGCGUUGCUCGGAAUCACUGGGCGUAAAGCGCACGUAGGCGGCUUUUUAAGUCAGGGGUGAAAUCCUGGAGCUCAACUCCAGAACUGCCUUUGAUACUGAGAAGCUCGAGUCCGGGAGAGGUGAGUGGAACUGCGAGUGUAGAGGUGAAAUUCGUAGAUAUUCGCAAGAACACCAGUGGCGAAGGCGGCUCACUGGCCCGGUACUGACGCUGAGGCGCGACAGCGUGGGGAGCAAACAGG
rnacentral:rRNA from 1 species